GAGAUGAUUUCCCUGUGAGUGGGCCGGUCCUGAUAUCAUCCGGAAUUGCCAGAACAGUUGAUCCCCAGGAGCUUGACUUGGUGAAGGUUGGGAACUCAAGACAAUGCCAAUGAACAUUUAGCUCGGAGGAAUUUGGUCUGUGACCACAGAGCAAACAGCAAGACCAGGGACACAAGGUAGAGAAGAGUGAGUGGAAAACAUCUCAUCUGAUCUCUACACGGCCAAUGACUGUCGAAGGGGCGGUGCAAUCAGGUCCCUAACCUGCUGGGCCUGCCGCCAGAGGGUCCCGUCCAGGCUGCUGCAGGAGCAGCCCCAGGAACCAGGCCGGACCUCGAGAAGCCGAGGGAAGGGGAGUCGCGGGCUUCAGGCUUCAGAAAGAAGCGAGGCAGGGGAAAUCCCUUCUGGAAGGAGGGGUGAGGAGGUAGCUCCACGUGCCCGGUGGCUGCUAUCCUCGGUUUUACCACUCUGGAUUGUGAGGUCCUCGCGAGCUGAGCUCCUAGUUACCCCCGGAUAAUGCUCAGCAGGUGUCUGGCCGAGGGUGAGUCUUCAAGAGGGCGGGACAUUAACGCUGUGAUGUGAAGCUCUGCCGGUGUUUUUCUACAGUUCACACAAUCACCAGAAAGCCCGUGUCUUGGCAC